rnacentral:rRNA from 1 species
GACGAACGCUGGCGGCGUGCUUAACACAUGCAAGUCGAACGGAAAGGCCCUGCUUUUGUGGGGUGCUCGAGUGGCGAACGGGUGAGUAACACGUGAUUAACCUGCCCUUGACUUUGGUAUAACUUCAGGAAACUGUGGCUAAUAUCGGAUAGGAGCUCCUGCUGCAUGGUGGGUGUUGGAAAGUUUCGGCGGCUGGGGAUGGACUCGCGGCUUAUCAGCUUGUUGGUGGGGUAGUGGCUUACCAAGGCUUUGACGGGUAGCCGGCCUGAGAGGGUGACCAGCCACAUUGGGACUGAGAUACGGCCCAGACUCCGACGGAAGGCAGCAGUGGGGAAUAUUGCACAAUGGGCGGAAGCCUGAUGCAGCAACGCCGCGUGCGGGAUAACGGCCUUCGGGUUGUAAACCGCUUUCGCCUGUGACGAAGCGUGAGUGACGGUAAUGGGUAAAGAAGCACCGGCUAACUACGUG